rnacentral:rRNA from 1 species
CGAACGCUGGCGGCGUGGCUAAAACAUGCAAGUCGUACGGAAAGGUUGCUUCUGAUCCUUCGGGUGACGAAGCGAUACUCGAGUGGCGAAAGGGCGAGGAAUACAUGGGCAACGUGCCUUAUGCACGAGGAUAACUGCGGGAAGCUGCAGUUAAUACUCGAUAAGACCACAGCAUCUUCGGAUGCAGCGGUCAAAGGUGGGGACCUUCGGGCCUACCGGCAUUAGAGCGACCCAUGUCCUAUCAGCUUGUUGGUGAGGUAACGGCUCACCAAGGCGACGACGGGUACCGGGACUGAGAGGUUGACCCGGCGCAUCGGGACUGAGACACUGCCCGGACUCCUACGGGAGGCUGCAGUAACGAAUAUUCCGCAAUGGGCGAAAGCCUGACGGAGCGACGCCGCGUGUGGGAGAAAGCCCUUCGGGGUGUAAACCACUGUCAGGGAUUACCAAGCAAAGUUGGCGAAUAGCCUUCUGCGUUGAGGCGUCCCAGAGGAAGCCACGGCUAACUUCGUGCCAGCAGCCGCGGUAAUACGAAGGUGGCGAGCGUUGUUCGGAAUCACUGGGCUUACAGGGCACGCAGGCGGACUGUCAAGCGUCAUGUGAAAGCCCCCGGCUUAACCGGGGAAUUGCUGGGCGAACUGGCAGUCUUGAGGCAGGUAAGGGCGAGUGGAACUCUUGGUGGAGCGGUGGAAUGCGUAGAUCUCCAGAGGAACGCCGGAGGCGAAAGCGACUCGCUGGGCCUGACCUGACGCUUAGGUUGCGAAGCCACGGAGAGCGAACCGGGACUCGAUACCCCGG